UCCUGCCAGUAGUCAUAUGCUUGUCUCAAAGAUUAAGCCAUGCAUGUCUAAGUCCAAGCUGUGUUCACACGGCGAGACCGCGGACGGCUCAUUAAAUCAGUCGUGGUCCAAAUGGGCCAGUGCAAAUCCUACUUGGAUAACUGUGGUAAUUCCAGAGCUAAUACAUGCAACUGAUAUCCCGAAGGCGGUGUUUGGGCUUGCUUGCCUUGCGCUGCGCUGCUCUGACGGAUGCUUUUAUUAGACCAAGCCGCUGAGGACUUGAGGGUUCGCGCUCUCUUGUCUGACUCGUGUGAUGGUGACUCUGGAUAACCAAAUUCUGACAAGCGCACGUACUUCUCUUCUGAGCGAGACGGCGCUGCCACUUUCGAGUGUCUGCCUUAUCAGCUAUCAACCGUUCGUUAUGCGCGACCGAUGGCUUUGACGGGUAACGGGGAAUCAGGGUUCGAUUCCGGAGAGGCAGCCUGAGAGACGGCUACCACGUCCAAGGACGGCAGCAGGCACGCAAAUUACCCAAUCCCAGCAAAUGGGGGAGGUAGUGACGAAAUCUAACGAUGCGGGCGCCCUUUCUGGGGCCCCGCAAUCGGAAUGGGCACUUUCUAAACAACCUGUUGAGAACCUACUGAAGGGCAAGUCUG
rnacentral:rRNA from 1 species